rnacentral:lncRNA from 1 species
CCACCACGGGAGACCACAACUGAUGACGAAAUAAAUGUGGCGAUCCGCUUGCCAGACUCGCCAGCACAUAACAGUGAGUAUCCCAACUUGGCUGCAUGUAUG